GUCGUCGUAUGGACAAAAUUAAUGCAACUUGCAGUUUGAAAUGGGUUUAAGUUCGCGGAAUCCAACUAAGUUACUGCCUAGCGCUUUUCCCACGUUAACCACUGCUCCUGCAGAGGCUAAUGAACGGCAGAAAAGGAUGGAUUCUCGUUCCAAAAAAGAAAUGUUAACAACACUGUUGAAGAAUACCGCCCUGUUGAAGUAAUUCAAGAAGACGAGGUUGGAGAGGCACCUCAAACUGCAGGAGAGGAGGUCAUCGAUGAAAAAUACGAGAAAAUACUGCAUUUGGAAACAGAACUGUUACUUCUAAUUGAUAUUGAAGAAGUAUCUUUUUCUUACACAAUUGAUCUAAAUUCCACUGACCCAAUUGAAAAAAUAAUGACUUGGAGAUUAUCAACAACGACGGACUUGAGAAUUUGGCAGGGUACAUCUGCCACAAACUCGGUAAAGACAACCCUGAAAUUUGCGCCAAUUCAGAAAAUUGUUCGUCUUAUACUUGGGUGGAUCACCUUUCUGAAGGAGGACUCUCAAAACCAACAGAUAUGUUAAUGGAGCAUAUGAGAGCCUUGCAAGCAGUAUUUCACGAUGUA